rnacentral:rRNA from 1 species
AGAACGAACGCUGGCGGCAUGCCUAACACAUGCAAGUCGAACGUGAUCCAGGCUUCGGCCUGGUGAAAGUGGCAGACGGGUGAGUAACGCGUGGGAACCUGCCCUGUGGUAGGGAAUAACCGUGGGAAACUGCGGCUAAUACCCUAUGAGUCCUUCGGGAGAAAGAUUUAUCGCCAUAGGAGGGGCCCGCGUCGGAUUAGGUAGUUGGUGGGGUAACGGCCUACCAAGCCUUCGAUCCGUAGCUGGUCUGAGAGGAUGAUCAGCCACACUGGGACUGAGAUACGGCCCAGACUCCUACGGGAGGCAGCAGUGGGAAUAUUGGACAAUGGGGGCAACCCUGAUCCAGCAAUGCCGCGUGGAUGAUGAAGGCCUUCGGGUUGUAAAGUCCUUUCGGCGGGGUAAGAUGAUGACGGUACCCGCGAGAAGGAAGCCCCGGCUAACUUCGUGCCAGCAGCCGC